rnacentral:rRNA from 1 species
UACAGAGGUCUCAAGCGUUGUUCUGAUUCAUUGGGCGUAAAGGGUGCGUAGGCGGCGCGGUAAGUCGGGUGUGAAAUCUCGGAGCUUAACUCCGAAACUGCAUUCGAUACUGCCGGUGCUUGAGGACUGGAGAGGAGACUGGAAUUUACGGUGUAGCGGUGAAAUGCGUAGAUAUCGUAAGGAAGACCAGUGGCGAAGGCGGGUCUCUGGACAGUUCCUGACGCUGAGGCACGAAGGUCAGGGGAGCAAACGGG